UGUGUGGGGUACACAUGGUUGAGUGUUGUU
rnacentral:rRNA from 1 species